rnacentral:rRNA from 1 species
GAUGAACGCUGGCGGCGUGCCUAAUACAUGCAAGUCGAGCGAACAGAUGAGGAGCUUGGUCCUCUGACGUUAGCGGCGGACGGGUGAGUAACACGUGGAUAACCUACCUAUAAGACUGGGAUAACUUCGGGAAACCGGAGCUAAUACCGGAUAAUAUAUUGAACCGCAUGGUUCAAUAGUGAAAGACGGUUUUGCUGUCACUUAUAGAUGGAUCCGCGCCGCAUUAGCUAGUUGGUAAGGUAACGGCUUACCAAGGCAACGAUGCGUAGCCGACCUGAGAGGGUGAUCGGCCACACUGGAACUGAGACACGGUCCAGACUCCUACGGGAGGCAGCAGUAGGGAAUCUUCCGCAAUGGGCGAAAGCCUGACGGAGCAACGCCGCGUGAGUGAUGAAGGUCUUCGGAUCGUAAAACUCUGUUAUUAGGGAAGAACAAAUGUGUAAGUAACUAUGCACGUCUUGACGGUACCUAAUCAGAAAGCCACGGCUAACUACGUG